rnacentral:miRNA from 1 species
UAUACAUAUAUAUUUACAUAUAUAUACAUAUAUAUAUAUAUACAUAUAUAUUUACAUAUAUAUACAUAUAUAUAUACACAUACACACACACACAUAUAUAUAUACAUAUAUAUGUAUA